CACGUAGGCGGUCUUUUAAGUCAGAGGUGAAAGCCCGGGGCUCAACUCCGGAAUUGCCUUUGAAACUGGGAGACUUGAACACGGGAGAGGUGAGUGGAAUUCCGAGUGUAGAGGUGAAAUUCGUAGAGAUGUGGAGGAAUACCGAUGGCGAAGGCAGCCCCCUGGGACAAUACUGACGCUCAGGCACGAAAGCGUGGGGAGCAAACAGGAUUAGAUACCCGUGUA
rnacentral:rRNA from 1 species